CUUCAGGGAGGGCAAACCCAGGAUGCUACAUGUCAAAGGAUGGGGGUUCAAGCGAGCAAGGUUGAAGGAAAAAGCCUGUUGCCAUCUGCUGUGCAGCGCAAGCUAAAUCCUAACAAUUUCAUUGGGAUUAUAGCAAGUGAGUAAUCCAGCUUUCCUUUAGGACUAGAGGGAGAGAUUACCCUCGAGGAUUAGCUCCACAUAGAUAAUAAACUUUAUUAAAACGCAAUCGGCUUUCAUGCGGCUUCUUCCCUCACACACUUGAAGGUGGUCUCUGUAGGGAGAGGUUUGGCAGGGACCCUCUGGGUGGGUACCAUGCAGGGAGAAGUAGAUGAAAGAUGAGGGGUGGGAUUCAGGGAUGGAGGACAAGGGUUUGAUGUCGCACGGAUUACAAGAAGCUCAUCUGAAGGGCAGGGGAGGUUUGAUCUUGAGCUUUGUGUUUCCUGGAAUGAUGCUUUGAAUUCCCCUGACUCCUGUCCUCUACCUUCACCCCC